UUCUAGCUUAACCAAAAGUUUGUAUCGAUGACUCAUAAGCUUAGCACCACGGUGCUGCCUUUUUAUUUUGCCUUAUCUAUCGUUUAUUACUUUGACAAUUCUUAUUCACCUAUUGAACAUUUUUGUCGUUUUUAAACGUACGAAAGAUAAAUUUUAUAGUUGAAUAUAUGCAGUUAAGCUUGUACGUUCAGCUUUUGCAUCAUUGCAUGUUUUUAUUAGCAUGCUAUUUCAUUGUAUGCUUAAUUAAGGGUGGCAAUAGGAACUGAACUUAUAUUACCAACCAGAACCCACUAGAUGGGUCCAUGGAUAGGACACAAGUCUAGGAAACCCGAUCAAGUAGAGGAUCGGGUUUAGUUUGGGUCGUAUUGUUCUAACAUGAUUGAUUGAAUCAGAAUUAUCUAACUUAAUAACACAAUAUAAUAAUAAUUUUAUAUAUUACAUAAAUGGUAGAGAUCGGGUCUUGGCACAAUAGUAAGGUUGCUUCAUCAUGACCUAUGUAUCAUGGGUUCGAAACAUGAAAAUUGCCUUCCACACAUGAGUUAAGUCUGCAUAUACC
rnacentral:lncRNA from 1 species